rnacentral:rRNA from 1 species
UACGAGGGGGGCAAGCGUUGUUCGGAAUUAUUGGGCGUAAAGAGCUCGUAGGCGGCCUGUUACGUCUGCUGCGAAAGCCCGGGGCUUAACCCCGGGUCUGCAUUCGAUACGGGCAGGCUAGAGUGUGGUAGGGGAGAUCGGAAUUCCUGGUGUAGCGGUGAAAUGCGCAGAUAUCAGGAGGAACACCGGUGGCGAAGGCGGAUCUCUGGGCCAUUACUGACGCUGAGGAGCGAAAGCGUGGGGAGCGAACAGG